ensembl:ncRNA lncRNA:CR44550 long non-coding RNA:CR44550
AUCUUAAGUUGCAGCUAAUAAAUAAGACCACGAGUUCAACUUAGUACUCACUUGAUGCGAGAGCAAACUUUAAAUGGCGAACCGGACUGCUAGCUACUGUUUGCAAAUGGAUCAAGGAUAUUUACCAGAGGCACGGGCUAGAUAUUCCUGAGAAAUGUAAACAGCGCCAAAUGCAAACAGUUCCAAUCAAAUAGCACACACACACACACACAAGCGAGUUGGGAAAAGCAAUGCACAUCCACAUUUAGCUGGCAACAUGCGAGGGAACAUUUCUGCAAACAAGCUGGCAAAACGGCAAAAUGGUAAAAUGGCAGAAUGGCAGGAUGGCAGGAUGGCAGGGCGCAAAAUGAGCAAACGACUAACCUAAGGACAACAAAAUAAACAUUUUGAACUCGACUGAAGGCCCCAAGGACACUUGGAGCAAAAAAGUAAGAUCCCACCCCCAAUGGACAGCCAGCUUCAUGAUGGGGCAGCGAGUGUAUGUAUAGCCCGCUUUUGGGGGCCAAAACGAAUCCCCCAAAGGCUAAGCGCAAAUAUUACAAGCAUUAUAUGAAUGUCUAUAUGGAGAAACAUUCCCCUGCUUCUCGGGCCACACAGCAAAUCCGGCCAGGCACAAAAUCCGAGUCAGCACUUUCGGAGCAGCCCAGUGCACCAUAGACCGACCUCGGCCAUAGAUCCUGCUCCAUCCAUUCCUGCCCUGCUCCUCCGCUCCAUUCGCAUCUCCAUCUUCGAGGCUCAGCAAGUCAUCAGCACACAUUAAGCUGGCAAGAUUAUGUGGCCCACGGCGGUGGCAGCCGCAGCCAUUCCAUGCACUGUCAAAAAAUAGUAGUAAUAAUGUU